rnacentral:rRNA from 1 species
AUGCCUCCAAAGCAGUAUGAAGGUCCUGCCAGCUACGCUCUUACCAAAGAAGAGAAGGAAAUCUUCUUUGAAUGCCUGCUUAGUAUGAAGGUCCCGACUGGCUUCUGGUCGAAUAUAAAGGGAAUAAUAAAUAUGGCAGAGAAAAAGUUUCAGAACCUAAAGUCUCAUGACUGCCACGUGAUUAUGACGCAACUGCUUCCGGUUGCAUUGAGGGGGCUUCUACCGGAAAACGUCCAAUUAGCCAUUGUGAAGCUAUAUAUGUGCAUUCCUCAAUGCAAUCUCUCAGAAGGUGAUCGAUCCAGAAAUCAUACCAAGGCUAAGGAGUAA